rnacentral:rRNA from 1 species
CCUACGGGGGGCUGCAGUGGGGAAUAUUGCACAAUGGGCGAAAGCCUGAUGCAGCAACGCCGCGUGAGUGAUGAAGGCCUUCGGGUUGUAAAGCUCUGUCUUUGGGGACGAUUAUGACGGUACCCAAGGAGGAAGCCACGGCUAACUACUUGCCAGCAGCCGCGGUAAUACGUAGGUGGCAAGCGUUGUCCGGAUUUACUGGGCGUAACGGAUGCGUAGGCGGAUAUUUAAGUCAGAUGUGAAAUACCCGGGCUUAACGUGGGUGGUGCAUUUGAAACUGGAUAUCUAGAGUGCGGGAGAGGAAAGUGGAAUUCCUAGUGUAGCGGUGAAAUGCGUAGAGAUUAGGAAGAACACCAGUGGCGAAGGCGACUUUCUGGACCGUAACUGACGCUGAGGCAUGAAAGCGUGGGGAGCAAACAGGAUUAGAUACCCGAGUAGUC